rnacentral:misc_RNA from 1 species
AUUCCUCGCUCCUUCAGAACCACUUCACGAGGCCGAGCACCACCAAAUAAUGCAAACCUUCCCAUUUCUGUGUUCCCUUCAGAUUGUUCAACAGGUUGCGACCGUGACUUCAAAUUCAAUUUUGGACGCUCUAUCACCUGAUACUCACUCUCCAAAUUAGCUAAACCAGAAUUUGCAGCAUUGACACUUCCAUGCAAUUCACUAGUUUCAACAUGACCAUUGGCAGAGUUACUCAGCUGUUGGUAUCCCUGCUUGUGAUCAACAGUAGGUGGUUCCAAAUUUUCCAAUGGCUUUGUUCUUGGAAGCAACUUCACCUU